rnacentral:rRNA from 13 species
GUCUACGGCCAUACCACCCUGAACACGCCCAAUCUCGUCUGAUCUCAGAAGCUAAGCAGGCUCGGGUCUGGUUAGUACUUGGAUGGGAGACCACCUGGGAAUACCGAGUGCUGUAGGCU